GCACAUCCUGGAAGUGACGGUUCCCUUCGGGGAUCAAAAGGGAACGCGGUGAGGACUUUCGGGUCCGAUGCCGCGGCUGCCCCCGCAACUGUAAGCGGCGAGCCUUUUCACCACCGAUGUCACUGGAUGAGCCUCAUCCGGGAAGACGGUGAGACGGCGACGACCCGCGAGCCAGGAGACCUGCCGUCAGCCGUGGUCACAC
rnacentral:ncRNA from 1 species